CACGCACACACAGACAUGCACGCACACACGCACACACGCGCACAUGUACAUGCACACAUGCACACACGCACACAUGCAGGCGCACACACACAUGCAUGCAGACACGCACACACGCGCACAUGCACACGUGCACACACGCACACGCACACACACCCCUUCUUUUUCGUUCAGCUAAUGGGGAAGCUGAGAAGAUGUUACCAGGGAAGGAGAAGUGGGAGGCCCAGGCACUGCUUUUCCUCAGUUCUCUGCGUGGCCCUGUUGUCUUGUGUUCCUAUCCAGGGAGUCUUCAUUCCAUGAUUGUCUGGGUUUUGUACCCAUUUCCUCCCUCCGUCCAUUUGCUCUGACCUUGGAUAACACCUGUUUUAACUUGCCCUGGAAUAGUGAGUGUGGUUUUCUUACCCACUGCCCAUGACUGUGUGCUAAGUUGCUUCAGUUGUGUACAACUCUGUGUGACCCUAUGGACUCUAGGCAAGAAUACUGGAGAGGGUUGCUGUGCACACCUCCAGGGGACCUUCUAGACCCAUGGUUCGAACCCAAGUCUCUUAUGUCUAACCUGCAUGGGCAGGUGGAUUCUUUACCUCUCGCACCACCUGGGAAAGCCCAUUCACUGCCCACAACUUAGUAAAGAAAUCGUUGGUUAAACUCUCCAGAGAGAGCCUGUGCUUCCUGCUGGUAUGUGGGCUCGUGCGGUCGUAGACUGUGAGGCUGUGAGACACGCCGGCCCUGCGUGCCUGUGUCCACGCCUCAUGGCAGGAGAGGUUCUUGCUGCCAUAGACUAGCAGGGAAAGAGAAGGAAAUUCUAGCGGAAAGAGGAGGAAAUGCACGUGUGAGCAAAGACGGUCACUUCAUAUAGUGACAGGAAGAAAACCUGACAUUGCGAUGGGAUAAGAAGCAAUCGUACGCAUGGUUUGCUUUCGAUACCAUGGUUUGUGUAUAACUCUCUGAGCAGGUACCAGCUGAGCUGAGCCUUGAUUAUGUGAAGACUCCAGUCACGCAAAGAGCUGGGGGAAGAAUUCGGGAUGUCUAAGCACAGUAAAGUCAAUCAACUCAUCGCACUGACUAAGGAGAGAUGGAGGGAAGAAGAGAGGCCUGAGAGAUAGGCAGGCCCCUGUGAGGUUCUGUUGCUGUUUGUGAUACAAUUUGCAUCGAAUUCAAUAUGAAAGGGGCAGUGAUUAGAGUGUUUUCUUCAUUAUCCAUUUAUUUAAUCUAUUAUAAGCAAGAUUUUGCAGUGAAGUAGUGGGAUUUUGCUGAAAAAAUAUAUGGCCCUACGAUUCUAGAAGCUUGCAGUUCAUUGAAAGAGAUAAGAUGAAUAUACAAACAGCUACAAUAGAAAGUUCUAGCUAAUUUACAUAAUGAUCGAUUUUGUUCUAAAAAGAGCAAACCUUUGGGAUUAUCCAGCUGUCUGUCACUUCCACAUUUUAGCCUAGUAAUUGCUACUCUGGUGAGAACAAAAUAAAGGAAAGAGAUUCUUGAUAAAUACCUUUAAUUGUUUACAAGGGUUUUGAUGUUUUUACCUUUUUAGUGAAAUGGAACCAUCUUGGAUGCCAGAAUGAACAGUGAGUUAAUGGCACCCCUGUUCCCCUUCUUUCUUCUGGACGGCUCCUCUUUUUCAGCACAAGCAGUGCCAGAGAGAGUGUGUCUCACGGCAGGAACUGGUCCAGGGGUGCUGGUGGUUUAGAUAGUACUUCCUCAAAUUUCAGUCUGUGAAUUGGACACACCAGACUCUCAGAUAAUUCUGAAUUUUAAAAUGUUCUGAACAAAGUCCCCAGCCUAACCCUGGGGAGUCUUACGCUGUUAGUCAGCGUGUGUGUGUUGCAGAGAAGGGUAGCAGGAAUUCAGUGUUUCAGUUUCCCAGGUGAUUGGAGAAGGACAUGGCAGCCCAGCCCAGUGUUCUUGCCUAGAGAAUCCCAUGGACAGAGGAGCCUGGCAGGCUACAGUCCGUGGGGUCACAAAGAGCUGGACACGACUGAAGCCACUUGGCACACAGGUGGUUUGAAGUGCUCGGGUUUAGGGGAGAAAACGCUUAGUGAACAAACUGGCAAGCAGCAGAUCGAAUCACAUCCUCAAAGUUAGCACCUUGGUCUCUCUUUUUCUUAUUCUAAACUUUUUAUUUUGUAUUGUAGUAUAGCCAGUUAACAAUGUUAUGACAGUUUUGUGUGAACUCUGAAGGGACUCAGACAUACACAUGUAUCCAUUCUCCUGGAAACUCUCAUCCCAUCCAGGUUGCCGCAUAACACUGAGCCGAGUUCAAAGAUGAGUGUGGUGGUGUCCCGGCGGCACAGGGACGAAGAUGGGAAGGAGGAGGCCGACUCAGAUUUUAAGAGUAGAUGAGCUUGGGGAGGAGGAAGGGGGAGUCAAAGGCUCCAGGUGGAGAGCAGGUGGUAACCUAACUCAGAAACGGAAUGUAGAGAGAAGGGCUGGUUUCCGAGAAAAUGGUGCCCGUUUGGCAGUGAGAUGUGUAGGCAUCCCGGCUGGCUGAAACAGUAGAGAGUCUACCUGCAAUGCAGGAGACCUGAGCUCCCUCAAUUAGGAAGAUUCCCUGGAGGUGGGAAGGACAACCCACUCCAGUAUUCUUGCCUGGAGAAUUCCAUGGACAGAGGGGCCUGGCAGGCUGCUUACUGUCUAUGGGGUCAUAAGGAAUCCAGCUCGGCUGAGUGAUGUUUACUUUCUGUGGGUUUAAAUCCACGGUGGCCUGUCGAGGAGGGGUGGCUAGCACAGGCUCUCUGAGACUGUUGGCCCUCAUUUAGUUUGGAUCUUCUCAGGCUCCCUCGCAGCCAGCCUAGGAUCUUGUAAUUGGGUUCUAGCUAAUGGGGGAGAAAUUAGCAAAGCCACUGCCAGGCCCGACUCUUAAAAACACAUCCCUGCAGGCUCUCCGGUAACUUCUCAGUGACCCUGGAAGAGGUAUGCUCCUAAGGUGUCAUCACGAGAUAGAGGGAAGUCCAGCAGACUGGUAUCAGGCUUUGAGUAAACAGCAAAUAACCUUUCUUCCUUUUUCCUCAACUCUAGUUUAGAAGGACUCCAAAAAAGGGAUUCUUGGGGGCCAAUGAACUGUCUUGCAGAUUUCCCUUGGUGCUCCCUACUUUCUGUAGGAUACAGCUCUCGGUCCACUGGGGGCUGGACCGGAAGACAAACCUGAGAGCUGUCAUCACUCCCUUCUCGAGGUUAUUCUUUUGGAAACUGUUCAUUCUGAAGCCUGGUCAUUGAUCAUGCCUUUUAUUUCUACUGGACGGGUUUCUCCUGGGAGGGUCUGCAGGCUCUGAAGUGAAAUGAAAUGAAUUGUUCGGUCUUGUCCAACUCUUUGUGACCUCAUGGACUGCACAGUCCAUGGAAUUCUCCAGACCAGAACAGUGGAGUGGGUGGCCUUUCCCUCCUCCAGGGGAUCUUCCCAACCCAGUGAUUGAAUCCAGGUCUCCCACAUUGCAGGCAGAUUCUUUACCAGCUGAGACAUAAGGGAAGCCCAAGAAUACCAGAGUGUAGGCUCCCUAAUCCCAAACAUACUUGAAUCAUAGAAUCUAUAACCCUUAUUACACUUGAAUGAAAUCAAAUACUUUCAUCCAGCAUGCUGUGGCACAGGGUUGCUAAAUAUGUGGCACCUUGACCAGCUGCCUCACUGUCUCCUGGGAACUCAUAGAAAUACGUAUUCUCAGGUCGCACUGAGACCAGUUGAGUCUGAGUGUUAACAAGCCAUCCAGGUGAGUCUGGAAGAGGCUACAGUUUGAAAACAACUGGACUAGUGCCCAUUUAAUCUUUCCAACAUUUUUUCCCUCCUAUUUAAGAUGAAGAUUGCGAGGGUUAAAGUAGAUAAAGUGCAUAGCAUUGCCGCUCGCACAUAGUGGUGCUUGUUUGGGGGAAAGUGUAAACAACACCCCCUCCUCUCGCCAAAGCAUGCAUCUCUGCCACGGCCUUUGGUGACACAGAGCUGAACCCAUUGUGCUGUCAGGGAAAGAAAUGCACGGAGCGGGAGCGUGCUUUCUCCAGCGGGAGAAGAACUGCACGUUUGCUCUUGUGUGCUCUGAUCAUAGCACCAGAGAGAGACCAAAGGGGCUUUUGGUAAGGUGAAGGAUUAGAAGAGAGCGUAAUAAUUUCUCAUAAAAGUACAAGAAAGCUGAUAUUAAAGACCUUGAAAGGAUAAACCUCAGCACGCUGUGCUUUUAUGUGUGCAAGUGAUGGAGAGACAGGUAUAGAGCUGGAAGAGGCGGGAAUCCAUGAGGCUGGCGCUUUGAUUAGAGGAAGGGCUGCUGGAGUCCAGGUAGGCACCCAUCCUUUCCACUUUCAAUUUUAUCCUUAAAAGUCGUACAGAUCAGGCCAGCCCCGUUCACCAGUCCCCAACUACAAAGAGUUGGGAGAUGGUGCCUCAAGACAGCCCAUCUUUUUCAAUCAUUUUGAAGGAUACUUCAUUGAUGAAAGCAGAUCUGUGAGUGGGUGCAUUUUAAUUCACAGUUAACAAAAGAAACCAUCUUCACUGCGGAUGGUCAAACGCCAGCCCAUUAAAAAGUGUAGUCUCAGUGCAAUAGGGGACGCUAAGCAUGGAUGCCCGCGCACGUAGAACUGACUGGUAAAAGUAAAUUGAACACGAAGACUGAUGCUUUGCAAAAAUGGAACAAAAAAUGAGCAAAGAAUGCAAAUUACUGGAGAUAAUGGUUGCCAUGGCAAUUGUUUGUCCAGAACUAAACCUGUGGUAACUCAGGCAAGAGUGAUUGAAAAUAAAAGCCGUUGCAGACCUCCCCCACUUUGGUUUUGUCGCCGCUGCUGCAGCUGGAGCAGUGAGACAGCACCCUCCCUCGCCCUGUGGGAGCCCCAGCGCAAUCUGCUGAGAGGGGGUGGUCUGCGGCCCUCACAGAGCACCCGGGGGUGUCUGGCCUCCUCGGCGUUCAGGAAACACAUCAGACACUGCAGGGUGAAGUGCCAUGCCUGGCACAACUGUUCCGACACCCACUACCCGGAAGAGCAGGCCAUCUUCUGUCAGUAAAAGUGCAAAGCAGUGGGAUUUCUUUUUUUUUUUUUUUUGAUCAAGGUUGCAAAAUGCUGGAUGGGAAGAAGCAACACACCAGCAGUUUUCUUCCCUCUGUGUGGCUGUCCGCACCCUUUCUCCCAUGUAAUUACCCAUCUGUUCGAGAGGGAGGCGAUGCUCCCUGUGACAUUUAGAAGAAAGGCACCUGUUUGUAGAAAGGCAAGAAUAACCUAGUUUGCAGGUAUCCUUGGCUCUUAAAUUUGCCUUUCCUGACUCAAUAUAAUGGGUUUUUCUUUUUCAUAAUCAUAUUGCUCUGACUGUAGUCUUUUCAAAUCCUUCUUUUCACCUCUCAUAUGUCAUUCUUUGAAUCAGCUUCUAGUAGGAAAGCUGUUCUUGGAGAAGAAAGCAAAGAAAGAGAGGAAUCAUAUGGGAAGAGGAAGAGAGCUUUGAGGGCAGAAGGAAUGUGUUGAAAAUAGUCUCUUUUCUCCUAAAUUCUGUAACCAUGUUUUAUGAUCUUUUCAUCUUGCAUGGUUGGUUGGUGAGAAAUGGAACAUUUGCAUUUCAAGGUAGACAAAGGCUUUUACUGAUGUCCAGUAACCAGGGAAACUUAAUGAGAAGUUGUAGUGGUUGGACUCGUAACAACAUGUUUUCUGUGGUAGCCAGACAGCAGAAGGCUUUGUAUACACAAACACAGAAAGUGCGCUGCUUGUUAGGUACCAUAUCUAAUUAGCUAGAACCCAAAAAACUUGCACUAAUGAUAUUUUUAUGCCAGGAGAGUUUGAGAAAUUGCACUUCAGUUUGGAUGUUUUGAAACAGUAGGAAUUGCCAGAAGUUAUACACACAAAUAAUACAGCUAACAGGGGUUGAAGAUUAGAGCUCUACAUCAUGGAAUCCUCACCGCAGCACUGUGAGGUGGUGUAUCUGUUGUCUGUUGCUGCCACAAAAUAAUUAGCACAGAUUUAGUGGCUUGAAACAACAUCCAUUAUUAUCUCACAGUCUGUAGGUCUGAAGACCAACAUAGACCUCACUGGGCUAAAUGCAAACUGGUGUGUCAGUGUAGGGACGUUGUAACAAAUGUACCAUCUGGUGGGGAAGUCAAUCCUAAAGGAAAUCAACCCUGAAUAUUCAUUGGAAGGACUAUUGCUGAAGCUCCAAUACUUUGGCCACCUGAUGUGAAGAGUGGACUCAUUGGAAGAAACCCUGAUGUUGGGAGAGAUGGAAGGCAAAAGGAAAAGAGGGUGCCAGAGGAGGAGAUGGUUAGAUAGCAUCACUGACUCAAUAGAGAUGAAACUGAGCAAAUGCUGGGAGAUAGCGGAGGACAGAGGAGGCUGGUGUGCUGUAGUCCAUGGGGUCGCAAAGAGUCAGACAUGACUUAGCGACUGAAAUGCAGCAAC
ensembl:lncRNA